rnacentral:tRNA from 1 species
GGGGGCUGGGACUGCAAGGGGUGGUCGUCUCGCUUGCACCGAGAAUAUUCAGAAGGGUUCGAUUCCCUUAGUCUCCACCA